CAGGAUCCUGCCAAGAAUACAAAAACCCUUACAUUAAUAUAUCACACUUUCAGACUCUUCCAAGACUAGUCUAUUAUCAGCUACGUUCUUGAUUAAGGACAGUAUAUAAAUAUUGUCCAAAAUAACACUCUUUUUCCCUGGCCAAAAUUUCUUACUUCCUGCUUCCCCUUCCUUCAUGAAAAACGAAAAAGAGGUUCUGUGUUUAUAUGCUGUAGUUACUUAGUAAUCAGAGUGGUUUUUAAAUAGAAAUCUACAAGUAUAAAUGACAUCCUACUACAUAAUUUAGAUUUUAUAGGUGUUGUGGUAUGUCUAAUAAAUCCCUGCCCCAAAAAAUGCAAUGAAGUUUAAUGAACAUAGACACAAAAUUUGAAUUCUAUGAAAACCAAAAAAAUAUAUAUUUGUAAUGUAUUAUGUUUUUAAUGGAACACAGGUAUAUAUUUACUGCCUACAUUUAAAAAUGACAAAGUGAAACCUCAUGGAUCACACUGAAAAUUACUUUUUGAGAGCCUGUCCAAGUUCCAUACUACAAAGGAAAUGCAAAACUUCUUUUCAAGGAACUUUUGAUAUCCUUUCCUGUUCCUAAUGAGAGAGACCACACAUUUUUAAACACCUUGAGUGUGCUUCAUAUCUUCAUGUAAGUUCUACAAAAUACUUGUCAGAAGUAAAAUUCUUAUUUGAUCAACCCGU